rnacentral:precursor_RNA from 1 species
CCCUCAAGGUCAUCCCAUGGUCACGUGACCCCCAAGGUCACGUGACCUUGGGAUGACCUUGGGGGU